rnacentral:lncRNA from 1 species
UAAUAAUAAAAAAAUAGGUUUAUCCAUUGUACUUCUUCGGUGUGAUCAUUUAAGAAUGGCCUACUAUGUAUUCAGUGCGUAUACAUGUGGGUUUUGUUUGUGAAGAGUUCUGGAUAAUUAAAAAAUCAUUUGAUUUCUUUGUUUAAUACAAUAAAACGAUUCAUUCUUUUAGAUAUUUGUCACUUUGCCUUAUCUUCAAGUCCAACACAAUUUCUCACGUUUCUUACAAAACUUAUAUACUUGUGAUGUAUUCUUUUGUUGGAAAAAAAAUGUAUUGAUAUAGAUAGAUAUAGGAAGAUGUGGUAUGAGUGCCAAUGAGACAACUCUCCUCCCAAGUAAUAAUUCAUAAAAGUAAACCAUUAUAGGUCAAGGUACGACCUGCAACACGGAGCCUUGGCUCACACCGAACAGCAAGUUAUAGAGGGCCCCAAAACUACUAGUGUAAAACCAUUCAAACGGGAAAACCAACGAGAAACGAAAAACACAUAUGAACUACAUAAACAGACGACAUCAUGCAUUGUAACUUUUAAAGCCAAUUAAGUAAAAAAAAUAAUCUGAAAGAACGUGCGAUAUCAUAUUAGGAAAAUUGAUGGUCAAACCAUAACAAAAAAUCAAGUAAAGAAUAUUAAGUAUUCAACCUUUAUAGCUUGCUGUUCGGUGUGAGCCAAGACUCCGUGUUGAAGGCC